AGAGUUUGAUCCUGGCUCAGGAUGAACGCUAGCGACAGGCCUAACACAUGCAAGUCGAGGGGCAGCGAAGAGGUAGCAAUACCUUUGUCGGCGACCGGCGCACGGGUGAGUAACACGUAUGCAAUCCACCUGUAACAGGGGGAUAACCCGGAGAAAUCCGGACUAAUACCCCAUAAUAUGGGCUCUCCGCAUGGAGAGCCCAUUAAAGAGAGCAAUUUUGGUUACAGACGAGCAUGCGCUCCAUUAGCCAGUUGGCGGGGUAACGGCCCACCAAAGCGACGAUGGAUAGGGGUUCUGAGAGGAAGGUCCCCCACAUUGGAACUGAGACACGGUCCAAACUCCUACGGGAGGCAGCAGUGAGGAAUAUUGGUCAAUGGUCGGCAGACUGAACCAGCCAAGUCGCGUGAGGGAAGACGGCCCUACGGGUUGUAAACCUCUUUUGUCGGAGAGUAAAGUACGCUACGUGUAGUGUAUUGCAAGUAUCCGAAGAAAAAGCAUCGGCUAACUCCGUGCCAGCAGCCGCGGUAAUACGGAGGAUGCAAGCGUUAUCCGGAUUUAUUGGGUUUAAAGGGUGCGUAGGCGGCACGCCAAGUCAGCGGUGAAAUUUCCGGGCUCAACCCGGACUGUGCCGUUGAAACUGGCGAGCUAGAGUACACAAGAGGCAGGCGGAAUGCGUGGUGUAGCGGUGAAAUGCAUAGAUAUCACGCAGAACCCCGAUUGCGAAGGCAGCCUGCUAGGGUGAAACAGACGCUGAGGCACGAAAGCGUGGGUAUCGAACAGGAUUAGAUACCCUGGUAGUCCACGCAGUAAACGAUGAAUACUAACUGUUUGCGAUACAAUGUAAGCGGUACAGCGAAAGCGUUAAGUAUUCCACCUGGGGAGUACGCCGGCAACGGUGAAACUCAAAGGAAUUGACGGGGGCCC
rnacentral:rRNA from 1 species